rnacentral:rRNA from 1 species
UACGGAGGGGGCUAGCGUUGUUCGGAAUUACUGGGCGUAAAGCGCACGUAGGCGGCUUUGUAAGUUAGAGGUGAAAGCCCAGGGCUUAACCCUGGAACUGCCUUUAAGACUGCAAGGCUUGAAUCACGGAGAGGUCAGUGGAAUUCCGAGUGUAGAGGUGAAAUUCGUAGAUAUUCGGAAGAACACCAGUGGCGAAGGCGGCUGACUGGACGUGUAUUGACGCUGAGGUGCGAAAGCGUGGGGAGCAAACAGG